rnacentral:misc_RNA from 1 species
ACGUCGGCGAUUUCAGUA